rnacentral:rRNA from 1 species
AGUGAACGCUGGCGGCAUGCCUUACACAUGCAAGUCGAACGGCAGCACGGGAGCAAUCCUGGUGGCGAGUGGCGAACGGGUGAGUAAAGUAUCGGAACGUGCCCAGUCGUGGGGGAUAACGUAGCGAAAGUUACGCUAAUACCGCAUACGAUCUAUGGAUGAAAGCGGGGGAUCGCAAGACCUCGCGCGAUUGGAGCGGCCGAUAUCAGAUUAGGUAGUUGGUGGGGUAAAGGCUCACCAAGCCGACGAUCUGUAGCUGGUCUGAGAGGACGACCAGCCAUACUGGGACUGAGACACGGCCCAGACUCCUACGGGAGGCAGCAGCGGGGAAUUUUGGACAAUGGGCGAAAGCCUGAUCCAGCCAUGCCGCGUGCAGGAUGAAGGCCUUCGGGUUGUAAACUGCUUUUGUACGGAACGAAAAGGUUUGGGCUAAUAAGCUGAGCUCAUGACGGUACCGUAAGAAUAAGCACCGGCUAACUACGUGCCAGCCGCCGCCGUAA